UUUUUUUCAAUUAUUGGGCUUAUCGUCAUGAUUAUGUGAAUGCUGUUGUAUCGGUCCGCACAGGAAGCAUAAUUAGUAAGCAGGAAAAGGACUGGACAAGGAGAGUUGGGAAUGAUCGUCAUUUGAUAUGCAUAGAGGACCCGUUUGAGACAUCUCAUGACCUGGGUAGAGUGGUGGAUAAGUUUAGCAUAAAAGUUUUGAGGGAGGAGUUUGAACGUGCUGCGGAUAUCAUGCAAUAUGAUCUUAAUCCUUGUGUAACGCUCUUUGAACCUUAUGUUCCUUAGUUCACUCUGCUUGAAUAAGCAUAUUAGAUGUAAUUAUGGCAUGAAUUAUGCUCAGGUUGUAAGGACCCUUCUGUCAUCUCUCCUCAUUUUUGUCAGAAAUGUGUUGGGCGGGCUUUUUGUUUA
rnacentral:misc_RNA from 1 species